AUUGAACGCUGGCGGCAUGCUUUACACAUGCCAGUCGAACGGUAACAGGCCUUCGGGUGCUGACGAGUGGCGAACGGGUGAGUAAUGCAUCGGAACGUACCCAGAGGUGGGGGAUAACGCAGCGAAAGCUGUGCUAAUACCGCAUGUGAUCUGAGGAUGAAAGCGGGGGACCGAGCAGCAAUGUUUGGCCUCGCGCCUUUGGAGCGGCCGAUGUCGGAUUAGCUAGUUGGUGGGGUAAAGGCCUACCAAGGCGACGAUCCGUAGCUGGUCUGAGAGGACGACCAGCCACACUGGGACUGAGACACGGCCCAGACUCCUACGGGAGGCAGAAGUGGGGAAUUUUGGACAAUGGGCGCAAGCCUGAUCCAGCAAUGCCGCGUGCGGGAAGAAGGCCUUCGGGUUGUAAACCGCUUUUGGCAGGAACGAAACGGUGUCCGCUAAUACCGGGCGCUAAUGACGGUACCUGCUGAAUAAGCACCGGCUAACUACGCG
rnacentral:rRNA from 1 species